GAUGAACGCUGGCGGCGUGCCUAAUACAUGCAAGUCGAGCGAACGGACGAGAAGCUUGCUUCUCUGAUGUUAGCGGCGGACGGGUGAGUAACACGUGGAUAACCUACCUAUAAGACUGGGAUAACUUCGGGAAACCGUAGCUAAUACCGGAUAAUAUUUUGAACCGCAUGGUUCAAAAGUGAAAGACGGUCUUGCUGUCACUUAUAGAUGGAUCCGCGCUGCAUUAGCUAGUUGGUAAGGUAACGGCUUACCAAGGCAACGAUGCAUAGCCGACCUGAGAGGGUGAUCGACCACACUAGCACCGAGCCACCGUCCACACUCCGACGAAAGGCACCAGUAGCGACUCUGCGGCCAUGAGCGAAAGCCUAACGUGGCAACGCCGCGUCAGUGACGGAACUGUAGGGAUCGGUAGACUGUGGUAGUAGGGGAGAACAUAGAUGAAAGUUACUGUGCACACCAGGACGUUACAUAAUCAGAGAUCCACCGCUAGCUACGGC
rnacentral:rRNA from 1 species